UACGGAGGGUGCAAGCGUUAUCCGGAUUCACUGGGUUUAAAGGGCGCGUAGGCGGUCAGCACAAGUCAGUUGUGAAUCUCCGGGCUUAACUCGGAAAGGUCAACUGAUACUGUGCGACUAGAGUGCAGAAGGGGCAACUGGAAUUCUCGGUGUAGCGGUGAAAUGCGUAGAUAUCGAGAGGAACACCUGCGGCGAAGGCGGGUUGCUGGGCUGACACUGACGCUGAUGCGCGAAAGCCAGGGAGCGAACGGG
rnacentral:rRNA from 1 species